GUGGGGAAUCUUGCGCAAUGGGCGAAAGCCUGACGCAGCAACGCCGCGUGGGGGAUGAAGGCUCUCGGGUUGUAAACCCCUUUCAGCAGGGACGAAUCAAGACGGUACCUGCAGAAGAAGCCCCGGCUAACUACGUGCCAGCAGCCGCGGUAACACGUAGGGGGCAAGCGUUGUCCGGAUUUAUUGGGCGUAAAGAGCUCGUAGGUGGCUGAGUAAGUCGGAUGUCAAAUCCCCAGGCUCAACCUGGGAUCCCAUCCGAUACUGCUCUGGCUAGAGUCCGGUAGGGGAGCGUGGAAUUCCUGGUGUAGCGGUGAAAUGCGCAGAUAUCAGGAGGAACACCAGCGGCGAAGGCGGCGCUCUGGGCCGGUACUGACACUGAGGUGCGAAAGCGUGGGGAGCAAACAGGAUUAGAAACCCGGGUAGUCC
rnacentral:rRNA from 1 species